rnacentral:rRNA from 1 species
UACGUAGGGUGCAAGCGUUGUCCGGAAUUAUUGGGCGUAAAGAGCUCGUAGGCGGUCUGUCGCGUCUGCUGUGAAAACUCAGGGCUUAACCCUGAGCUUGCAGUGGGUACGGGCAGACUAGAGUGCGGUAGGGGAGACUGGAAUUCCUGGUGUAGCGGUGAAAUGCGCAGAUAUCAGGAGGAACACCGGUGGCGAAGGCGGGGUCUCUGGGCCGUAAACUGA